ACCUCCUUAUUUAAGCUCUGUGCUAAAAUUGUAGUAACUAGUAUCUGCAGUGUCUUAGUGCUUGUAAUAAAGCUAACAAAGUAAACACAAGAAGAAAAACAACCAUACCAGAUAGUAGAAAAACUACAGGUAACUAACUCCAGAGUAUUUUGUUCUAAAAUUUGGUACAGUAAUA
ensembl:snoRNA